rnacentral:rRNA from 1 species
ACGCUCGACACCUACGUGAGGCAGCAGUUGGGAAUAUUGGACAAUGGAGGAAACUCUGAUCCAGUGACGCCGCGUGAAGGAAGAAGGUCUUCGGAUUGUAAACUUAUUUUGUCAGGGAAGAAAAAAUGACUGUACCUGAAGAAAAGCACCGGCUAACUACGUGCCAGCAGCCGCGGUAAUCUGAGCGGGCUGGCAAGGC